CACUGCUUGGCUUCCUAAGACCUUAGUAACGCCAUUAUUAUUAUUAUUAUUAUUAUAUUUUUUUCCAUCCGAAAACACGAACUGUAAUUUUUCUUCUAUUCACAGUUUCGAACUUGAAUUAUUUAUAUACAUUUUAAUGUUAUUCGUCUUUACGGUAACUGUUGCUGGCCCCGUUUUUCUUAUUCUUUUUCCUCUUUUUCCCGAUAGCCUACGUAAUAAUGUUAGCAUUCUUCUUCGACAAAAAUAUGUUUACCGUGUGUACAUGCAUUCGAUUCAACUAGAAAUCUUGAUAGACACAGCGUAGGUUGCGUGCAAAGCGAGAGGAAGUUUUGCCAAUAGCGUUUCUGCGAAUGUAAUAAUUUCCUAUAAUUUUCUUUUGAUAUCAACGUUACUUUCAACGACGUUAGUAACGACGGUUAGAACAAAAAACAUAACAUAUAUAGAGGGAGACUAUAUAAAUAAAAUUCGCCAAGUUUGCUCUUAAUAAAUCUUUUUACCGGAAAAAAAAAUUGAAAAAAGUUGCGUGAACAGAACUCAAAUCGUGCGUUUUUCCAUCGCACAGAAUGUUUGUUUUCUUCUGGAGUCGUUUCUGUAUGAGAGGUAUAACAGUAACGUGCUCUGCUCGUACUGAAACCAAUCGUUAGAAAAAGCAUAAAAAAUAUAUAUAUAUGCAGAAACGAACAGGCCUACACUGUAAGUCCUUUAAAGCCGAGGAAAACUUCGACUUGUCUCAUCAAGGACAUGGAAGGUGAACGAAUCAAUUGUCCUUCGAGUGAGAGAGAGAGAAAGGGUCGUAGUAACCUGCUACUUAAAAACAUCACCGCGUCCGAGAGAGAUCGGGAGAUUGAUGUUGCCUAUAGCUAUCCUACAAUGGUAAGGCAACAUUUUCAAGGACGUAUUCAUGUUGGAAAUCCGAUUUUGUACCGGAUCAAUGGAAGAAUAUAUACGUAUUUUUUCCUUCUUCUUCUUUUUUUUAUAUAUAUAUUUUUAGACCGGCUGGGGAUUUAACCGAUUUUGGUCGUUAAAAAGAUUACAGUUUAAUAUCUGUAAGACAGGCGUUGUUGUUGUUGUUAUUAUUGUUGUUACACGUGUGGAGAAGACUGGAACGAAUUGCAUUUUUGUGCGGAAGAGUUUCAUCAGAUGCAAAUCAAUUUAGUGCGGUUGGUAUUUUUAAAAUUUUGGAGACCGAAACGUUGUCCGGCUUGCAUGACAUUAACGCAACACCUGAAACGACAUCUCGGUUGCCAACCGAAGGAUGUUUAGUUGCCAAGGCAACAGCUUCCAGAAACUGGGACGUCGUAAUAGCCAUUAAAUUAAAAUCCCUCGGAUGUUGCCAAAUAUAUCGAUCCCGCUUAUCCCCUCCUUCAUCCCCACACAGUCUGUUGUUAUGGCAACGUUCUUGUGACAUUUCCCGGCUUCCACAAUCUGUUGGAAUCUGGUUACGAAGGACAAAGGAUUCGUAAUAAAGAUUGCUUGUCUAUCAGGUAAGAUUUCCCAUCAUAAUUCGAAUUAAAUUACUCCUCGUCCAUUUUUACAAAUCGAAAAUUCGCGCUUCUGCUCUUCGCCGAAUUACGCGUAUCGUUCGAAAAUAUUCUUACAGUUUUUUCUUUUUCUUUUUUUUUCUCGGUUAAAAACGGAUGUUUAGACAGACGUACGCACACAAACACGUUGUUGUGCGCUUUUCUGGCUUUAUCACGCUUCCUUAUUUAUUGAUAAUUUGCAAAAGUUCUCGUCUUGGGAAACUUUUCUGGUAACUGAUGAGAACUAAGUGAGAUCGUGAUAAUUUCGAAUACGUGACGCGAAAGGCUACGUGACGUGUUUGAUUGUGGAAAACGUGAUAUGCAUAUACCGUUAUGUUGUAACAGUCGAUGCUGCUUUUUUUUCUUUUUUUUUCGAUCGAUUUUUUCGCAUAUAUGUAAGUUUUUUCUUUUUUUUAUCAUCUGAAUAACCUAAAUUUUCCUGAUGGGAAUAACCUAAAUAACUUUUUUCCCUCCCCCUCUUAAUCUUCUCUAAUUUUUGAAAAUUCAAAUUAUGCCUUUAAAAAAACAAAAUUCGGUUUCGUUAAUGUAUGUAUGUGUUUUUAUUUCUCCAUUUUUGUUACGCAAAACGUCAGAAGUACGAGAAACGAGUUGCAAAAUUAUUUCAGAAGUAAUAAAUACGAGGAUUUUGUUGUCAACAGGAUUUUUUGUUGUUGUUGUUGUGUGUGUUUUCUGUAACAGAACGUGAAUUAUAGUUUUUUUUUCCCUUCUAAAUACUAAAAUAUCGUCU
rnacentral:lncRNA from 1 species